UUACCUGUGCUUUCGGUGGGCGGUAGUUAGCAGGGCCCUGACCUGUUGAGCUUUUUAACUUGUGGGUGCUCAAUAACGACUCUUUCUCACCCGACUGUCCGGAGUAAAUUUUAAACCGGGUAGAGGCACUUUCCGUUUAUUUAAUCGACUGCUUUCUGAAAAGAAACAGGUAGAAUGCCCUUAAAUGACUCCUGUUGGGAUGAGGAGAGCCCGGUAACAGAAUACCAAGCGAUCGGGCCGUCUCUGCUUUGUCCUGACCGGAGUUGGGGGAUGGCGUCUUGUCUUGUCUUAUGCUGUCAAGUCGUCUCCGAGGGCGCGCGCCGCUCCCUCCACCCGGUCCCCAUCCCCUCUGAGGCGGCCGCGCUUAGUCCAGUGCUCUGCACACAACUGCGAGCCCACUGUCGGGGAGGGACCGUCUCUAGAU